CGAGACGUGGUUUCGUAUCGUAGUUGGGUCAUACUGUAACCACGAGCCCAGAAAAGCUGAGGAUCGCGAAAUCACAUUCCCAACAUAGAAGAAGAAGAAGCUGAGAAGGGAAAAUUAGCAAAGCAGAGAUUUUGAUAACAAGGAAAAAAGCUGAAACUAAAUCGUAACAGAGAAGAAGAAGAAGAAAGAUGGUUAGGGUGGCAUCGUAUUUCGCGAUGACGCUGGGUGCUUUCGUGUUCUGGCAGUCCAUGGACAAAGUCCAUGUCUGGAUCGCUCUCCAUCAGGACGAAAAGCAAGAGAGGUUGGAGAAGGAAGCGGAGAUCAGAAGGGUUAGAGAAGAAUUAUUGAAGCAGCAGGCCAAUCAGAAGGGUUAGAGAAAAAUUAUUGCAGCAGCAGGCCAAUCAGAAGGAUUCUCUUUAUUGAAUUCGAAUAUGUUGAAAUUUUGCUGCCUUUUACUUUGUAAUUCCCUUCCCAUGCUAUAUCUACUGCUCAAAUAAAAUAUGGUACUCCCUAGCACUUCAAAUUAAUUGCGUGGAUUUCUAAUGUGUUUCCAUGGAUUUUUUCGGUCAUACUUGAACCUUAUUCUUCUUUACAAGUAUGAGUUUUGGAAAUCAACCAAGUAUUGGAUCAUAUUAUCAACUCACUGAAAUAAAAGUCUGUAAACUCUCUAGUGUGUCCAUCUGACUGUGGUGCAUAAAUCAUUAAGUGCUGCUGCUUCUUCUUCUAUAUUGUGAAUGUGUUCUUACUUGUUUGGCAAUUACCUUGUUCUCUGUGUUUUACUCUGAUAUUCAGAUAUAAUUGGACAGACUGGCCUGCUUAAAAAUAAGUCUUAGAGUGGAGACUUGGUAUCAAACCAUUUUCUGCAGCGUUUCUUUUGACCUCUUUCUCAUACUUUUCACCUACAGAAUUUUGAGGUUAAAUCGAGCUAUAGAGGAAUUAUGAAGUGGCAAUACUAACUUAAAUAAGCAAGUGUCAAAAAUGCUUUACAUGCUUAACUCUUCCCAAGGUCUUGACAAUAUUGCAAUUAGGCAAGCACUUGGCGUAGAAGUAGAAGAAGUUCUUGUUGGUUUGGUGUCUAGAUGAAUAUUUCAGGCAGAACAGUGUGGUGCCGCCAUUGUGCUGUUACAGCUGCAUUCAUUACAGGGAACAUCUAGCAUCGUGUGCAUAGGUAGUGAGUGACUGAUUGAGGUAGACUGCACCGCUGUAUGAAAAUGUGGCAAAAUCAUUUCCAGGGUUCCUUUUAUGAUUUCACACUCUCUUUUUCAGAACCCUUAAUUUUGACAAAACCCAUUAGCUCAUGUUCAUUAAUCUUUGGCCCUUCUGUUUUCUUUCACUCUUCAAGUCAGCCACUCGCUUUUUGGCCCAACUAAGCACUCGUGUUUGCAUUGUCCUCUCUGUUCUUGCCUGCCUCUGAUUACACUUUGCUGGCUGUUCUUUCAAUCCUAUGCCCUUUCCAGAAAACCUUGUGGUAUGAGUAAUUGCCCCAUCAUUGUUAUUGUCUUUUGUACUUUUUACAGACUUGUGCAUGGGAAAUGUUGAUAACUCUUGCUACUAGUCAGUUAUGCAUUACAUUCACGAUGAUUAUGUGGAUGGGCUGCUACAAUGCAGUAGUCCUCUCAACAGCUAAAUGUUUUAAGUUCAAUCCAAUGAUUUUAUUGUCAUGUUUGCUUUGUGUUACAAUUUGAUUGAACCGAGUUAUUGUUUGUUCAUAAAGACUGGAAUAGGAAACCACUUCUGUCUGGUAUAUGUAGUCAUGAGCUGAUCUAGUCGUCUGAUUUUCUAUUGAAGGUCAGUGUUGUUAAGGUAAGGUAACUGCAUUUAAAUCGCGUAUGUAAUUGGUAUCUUUUGUGGAUUUUUCCUAUUGCAUGGUAUCACAUAUUUGUUAUUGAUAUUCCUAGUUUCUGUGGAACUAGUUUUAUUAAAAUUAGGAUGAUAGGUUGAAUUUUCUGGAAGGUUCCAUUAGCAUUUCACUCUUUCCCCUUACUAGUGGUCAGUGUUAGAGUGACACUCUCACUCUUUGAUUGUAUAGUAUAUGGCAACUGUCUAGUGCAAUGGAAACGGAUGGCUGAUGUCUUUGGUGAUGUGUGUAAGUACUGAUAAUUUGUACUCUUUCUCUCCAUAAGUGAAAUAUUUUAGUUGUGUUGUUUUCUAGUAUGUGGCAACUAUCUAGUGCAAUGGUGGGAUAUAGUGGAGGCUGAUGUCUAUCGUGCCCAUUUAUUUUAGUACUGAGAAUAUUUACGCUUUAACUCUACUAGUGGAAUAUUGUAGUUGUGGUGAUGAUCGUGUGAUACUCUAAUUCCUGCUUGUUGCCUUGUUUAUUGCAAUUACCUAUUGCUUGGGUAGUACAGGAGGUUGAUGAACGGGAAAAUCUAUAGUGCUGGUUACCAAUUAGAAAGGCAUUAAUGGUCGUUUCCAAACGUGAAAGGAAAUACUCAAGUAGACAGGUCCUUUAAUUGUAGUAAUUGAUCGGGAGAAUGGGGAUUAAUUGCCACGGACUUGAUUGAUGAUGCUGAGCUAUACUGUAAAAAUCAUCUCAUACCCGAGAUGGUUGUAGUUUAGUUUGUUUUUCUCUGAGUAAGAGAGGGGUACAAAGUAUAAAAAAAGAAGAGCGUGAAAGUUAUAAAUGUAGUAAGUGAUCUAAUUGGACAGAAAGAGAAAUAUAUGAAAUAAACGGGGUGAAAAAGGAAUGAAAAAGAAAAUGAGUGGAUGAAUAUAAUUAGUUAUGCAUGAAUUGUUCAUCAAAUGGACAAUGUUGAGAAAUUAUCUGCUUCAUGGACGCGUGGGGGGUGAUUUUUUUUUUUUUUGGAAUUCCAAUAAUGCUCUUUACACAAAACACUUAUUUCUUAACAUAUUUUUCAUUUCUCAUCAUCGACUUUAUUUCUCCCGCUCCGUUCUCCUGUAUUCAUCAGCACCUUUGAAUAUGUGAAUUGCACUUGCACAUUGUAUAGCGACAGGCUUAUUGUCCCCUAAAAUGACAUUCUGCAAUUGGUAAUUCAUUUUUUUUCAAGCCAACACAUUUAUCAUAUAUAUUAUUUGAUUGCUUAAUCUUUUAUGUUGGAAUGGGUAAGAGCCAAAUUAUUUGGCUAUUCCUCGAAUGGGCUCAAUCAGCUUAUUUUUUGAGAUGUUUGAGAUUUUGACUUCUCGAUUUGUGAAUGUCACCGUACAUUUUUAGUUUUUUGACUGGGAAGUUGGGGUUGUAAGUCUUUUUCUUUAAUAAACAUAUUAGUAUUUGUAUAUUGAUGUUCAGGAGAAGAACACAAAUUCUAAGGUGAAGCUGUGGUUCUUUAACUUAGUGUAAAAUUAUGAUUUGAGGCAACUGAGAGGAUUCGCAUAUUUUGUAACUAUUCUAAGAUUUGAUGCAUUGC